rnacentral:lncRNA from 1 species
GAGAAACUCUCUCCGACUUCCUCUCUCGCCACCAAGAGACUGCUUUCUCCAUGAACUUCGGUGGAUCCGCCGUCUUAGCUUACGCUCGCCAAGAAACCUCUCUUCGCCAGAGGUAUAUACAUAUAUAUACUACAUAUAAUUCAAACCCUUAGAUCCAACUCACUGAUUCAUAAAUCUAUUGGUUUUGUGUUCUUCUCAGGCUGUUCUGUGGACUUGAUGGGCUUUACUGUAUGUUUCUUGGGAGAUUAAACAACCUCUGUACGUUGAACCGACAGUACGGUUUGUCUGGCAAGAACUCGAACGAGGCUAUGUUUGUGAUCGAAGCAUACCGAACACUUCGUGAUCGUGGUCCUUACCCAGCUGAUCAAGUUCUUAGAGGUCUCGAUGGAAGCUUUGCCUUCGUCGUCUACGAUUCUCAGACCUCCUCUGUUUUCUCAGCUCUGAGUUCUGAUGGAGGAGAGAGUCUUUACUGGGGGAUUUCUGGAGACGGAUCUGUUGUGAUGUCUGAUGAUCUUCAGAUCAUUAAGCAAGGCUGUGCUAAAUCAUUUGCUCCUUUCCCUACUGGUAAAGCAAAACACUUUAUAUUCUUUCACCGUAUAGUAAAGGAAGAAACUUUGAGUUGGGAUCUUGAAGUUUGAUGAUUUUUUUUAUAUGCAGGGUGUAUGUUUCACAGUGAGACAGGACUUAAGAGCUUUGAACAUCCGACCAAUAAGAUGAAGGCAAUGCCGAGGAUUGAUAGUGAAGGUGUUAUUUGUGGAGCUAAUUUCAAAGUUGAUGCUUGUUCUAAGAUCAAUGGCAUCCCCAG